CUGAGAGGUGGUGCAUGGCCGUCGUCAGUUCGUACUGUGAAGCAUCCUGUUAAGUCAGGCAACGAGCGAGACCCACGCCCACAGUUGCCAGGCGUACUCUCUGGAGUGACGGGUACACUGUGGGACCGCCGCUGCUAAAGCGGAGGAAGGAAUGGGCAACGGUAGGUCAGUAUGCCCCGAAUAUCCCGGGCUACACGCGAGCUACAAUGGUUGGUACAAUGGGUAUCUACCCCGAAAGGGGACGGGAAUCUCCUAAAAACCAAUCUUAGUUCGGAUUGAGGGCUGCAACUCGCCCUCAUGAAGCUGGAAUCCGUAGUAAUCGCGUUUCAACAGAACGCGGUGAAUACGUCCCUGCUCCUU
rnacentral:rRNA from 1 species